CAUGAUUAUAACUUUUACAACAUAUUCCAAAGCAAACGUAACUGCUCUAAGCUGAAUUAAAGUAUAGAUUUGGUAUACAGUGUCAUAUUUAACAUAUUACCAGAGUCCUUGAAUACAUGAACAAUGUGCAACGGUGGGUGAAAAUAAUUCCUUUAUACUCCGUUUAUAUCAAGUCUAGGACAGACCGGAAUUAAGUUUUCAUUGUUAAACGAAG
rnacentral:lncRNA from 1 species